rnacentral:piRNA from 1 species
GAUGCUGAUGACCAGGGUGAUGAGGA